AUUGAAAAUGCUGAGAAAGAAACAUGAAACUCUUACUUUCAGUCCUGCUGUGUCUUAAGGAGGGAGCCUCAUGUAAAAUGACUAAACAAAUGCAUGUGGCAAACAAUAUAAAAGAAAUUUUUCGAGAUCAAAAGUCACAGGCUUCAUAAGUACGUGGCUUCGAAGUAAUUCAAAGAGGAGAGCCAUAAAUAAUGUUGAUUUGCCAAGAUAAUAAAAAUUUUUCAAAGGUCGAUUACCUCCCCUGUAGGUGACAAGAGGUAACAACGAAAGCAAGACUAUAUACACGAGUGGUUAUAACCAAGAUGAGUCGAUAUUCGCAUGGCUAUCCGUAAAUGCAGCGCAGAAGCAUUUUAUUUUAUUUUGUAUCGCAAAAGUUCGUAAAAAAAAUUGAAAUAGAUUAUUCCCAAUUAUGUUUGACAUGUGAGAAUGCUUAUCAAUUAACUAUCGACGGUUAAAUGCCAUAAAAAUUUCAACCAAUUUGUAACAAAUCAGUAUUAAAAUACAUAAUAUUAUGUAUUA